AGUGAACGCUGGCGGUAGGCCUAAAACAUGCAAGUCGAACGGCAGCACAGUAAGAGCUUGCUCUUACGGGUGGCGAGUGGCGGACGGGUGAGGUAUACAUCGGACUCUACUUUUUCGUGGGGGAGACGAAAGGCAAAUUAAUACUAAAACCGAUUACCACCUACGGGUGAAGGACGGGGAUCUCCGGCCCUUUCGGGUUUGAAGAUGCCGAUGUCGGAUUAGCUAGUUGGCGGGGUAAAGGCCUACCAAGGCGACGAUCCGUAGCUGGUCUGAGAGGAUGAUCAGCCACACUGGAACUGAGACACGGUCCAGACUCCUACGGGAGGCAGCAGUGGGGAAUAUUGGACAAUGGGCGCAAGCCUGAUCCAGCCAUACCGCGUGGGUGAAGAAGGCCUUCGGGUUGUAAAGCCCUUUUGUUGGGAAAGAAAAGCAGCAGGCUAAUACCCCGCUGUUAUGACGGUACCCAAAGAAUAAGCACCGGCUAACUUCGUG
rnacentral:rRNA from 1 species